GAUCAGUGGCUCGAGGACACGCUGGCGCAUGCUUAACACAUGCAAGUGGAGCGACGAACCUUUUAGGGGCAAAGCCGCGAACGGGUGAGUAACACGUGGGCAAUCUGCCCAGUUGACUGGAAUAACUCUCCGAAAGGAGAGCUAAUACCGGAUGUGCCGUACCUACACAAGUAGGUCCGGUAAAGGUAGCUUCGGCUAUCCGCAAUUGGAGGAGCCUGCGGCGCAUUAGCUAGUUGGUGGGGUAAAGGCCUACCAAGGCGACGAUGCGUAGCUGGUCUGAGAGGACGAUCAGCCACACUGGAACUGAGACACGGUCCAGACUCCUACGGGAGGCAGCAGUGGGGAAUCUUGCACAAUGGGCGACAGCCUGAUGCAGCAAUGCCGCGUGAGGGAAGACGGCCUUCGGGUUGUAAACCUCUUUCAGUUGGGAUGAAGGUUGGCCGGUGAACAGCCGUGUCGACUGACCGUACCUUCAGAAGAAGCUCCGGCUAACUACGUG
rnacentral:rRNA from 1 species